AGUGAACGCUGGCGGUAGGCCUAACACAUGCAAGUCGAACGGCAGCACAGUAAGAGCUUGCUCUUACGGGUGGCGAGUGGCGGACGGGUGAGGAAUACAUCGGAAUCUACUUUUUCGUGGGGGAUAACGUAGGGAAACUUACGCUAAUACCGCAUACGACCUACGGGUGAAAGCAGGGGAUCUUCGGACCUUGCGCGAUUGAAUGAGCCGAUGUCGGAUUAGCUAGUUGGCGGGGUAAAGGCCCACCAAGGCGACGAUCCGUAGCUGGUCUGAGAGGAUGAUCAGCCACACUGGAAGUGAGACACGGUCCAGACUCCUACGGGAGGCAGCAGUGGGGAAUAUUGGACAAUGGGCGCAAGCCUUAUCCAGCCAUACCGCGUGGGUGAAGAAGGCCUUCGGGUUGUAAAGCCCUUUUGUUGGGAAAGAAAAGCAGCAGGUUAAUACCCCGCUGUUCUGACGGUACCCAAAGAAUAAGCACCGGCUAACUUCGUG
rnacentral:rRNA from 1 species